rnacentral:rRNA from 1 species
GAUGAACGCUGGCGGCGUGCUUAACACAUGCUAGUCGAACGAUGAAGCCCAGCUUGCUGGGUGGAUUAGUGGCGAACGGGUGAGUAACACGUGAGUAACCUGCCCUUGACUCUGGGAUAAGCCUGGGAAACUGGGUCUAAUACUGGAUAUGACUUCUCAUCGCAUGGUGGGGGGUGGAAAGAUUUAUUGGUCUUGGAUGGACUCGCGGCCUAUCAGCUUGUUGGUGAGGUAAUGGCUCACCAAGGCGACGACGGGUAGCCGGCCUGAGAGGGUGACCGGCCACACUGGGACUGAGACACGGCCCAGACUCCUACGGGAGGCAGCAGUGGGGAAUAUUGCACAAUGGGCGCAAGCCUGAUGCAGCGACGCCGCGUGAGGGAUGACGGCCUUCGGGUUGUAAACCUCUUUCAGUAGGGAAGAAGCGAGAGUGACGGUACCUGCAGAAGAAGCGCCGGCUAACUACGUG